rnacentral:misc_RNA from 1 species
GAUGAAGAACGUAGCGAAAUGCGAUACGUAAUGUGAAUUGCAGAAUUCAGUGAAUCAUCGAGUCUUUGAACGCACAUUGCGCCCCCUGGUAUUCCGGGGGGCAUGCCUGUCCGAGCGUCAUUGCUGCCCUCAAGCACGGCUUGUGUGUUGGGCCUCCGCCCCCCGGCUCCCGGGGGGCGGGCCCGAAAGGCAGCGGCGGCACCGCGUCCGGUCCUCGAGCGUAUGGGGCUUCGUCACCCGCUCCGUAGGCCCGGCCGGCGCCCGCCGGCGACCCCCCUCAAUCUUUCCAGGUUGACCUCGGAUCAGGUAGGGAUACCCGCUGAGCUUAAGCAUAUCAAUAAGCGGAGGA